CGCCAGCGCCUGCGCUCUCAUCACAACCUAACAUAAUGACAUAAUUGGCGGGGAGCGAGCGAGGGGGCCGCGGCGGGACGCAUGCGCGCGUUUGGCGGCCAAGGUCGAGGCCGCGAUUCCGCCGCGCGCCGCCGCGCCGGCCGGUGUCGAGCUAACGCCAUUUUGAAAUAUCAAAAAGGCUAAAAUACGCAAAAACGACGCGAGUGCAUCUCUAACUACUAACUAUGGACGCAGAAAGUGUCUGGAUGCUGACCUAUCGCCCAUCGUUCAACCCGUAUCCCACAGUCGACUUCUACGACACCCAUGGAGGAAAGUGAUUAUACAAAUGAGAAGAGACCUGGGUUUAGUCUGCAUUCCUGCAAGUUACACAAAAGAAGAGAAUUGUAAUUAUAGGUCCGAGGUCCUUCGUUCUUGCGGGAAGCAGGCACGUUGCACGAGGCAGGAUAUCCUUAGUUUGUGCGCUCUGACCGCCGUAAUUGAAGACGAAACUGGUAGAUUUCUUCCAUCGGGCGUUUAAGCAUGCGGUUAUCGACGUGAAUGGCAAGAUGUAGGUGGUUCAAAAACCG